rnacentral:rRNA from 1 species
GAUGAACGCUGGCGGCGUGCCUCAAACAUGCAGUCGAGCGGGGCUAUGUAAUAUCGCAAGGUAGAACAUAGCCUAGCGGCGAACGGGUGAGUAACACGUGGGUAACCUGCCUGGAAGACAGGGAUAACGAUUCGAAAGGGUCGCUAAUACCUGAUAAUAUCCUUUCAUCGCAUGGUGAUAGGAAGAAAGGGGAAACCCGCUUUCAGAUGGGCCCGCGUCCCAUCAGCUAGUUGGUAAGGUAAAGGCUUACCAAGGCGACGACGAGUAGCCGGUCUGAGAGGAUGUACGGCCACACUGGGACUGAGAUACGGCCCAGACUCCUACGGGAGGCAGCAGUUGGGAAUCUUAGGCAAUGGACGAAAGUCUGACCUAGCGACGCCGCGUGAGGGAAGAAGGCCUUCGGGUUGUAAACCUCUGUCAUGGGGAAGAAGGAAGUGACGGUACCCCAAGAGGAAGCCCCUGCUAACUACGUG